CGCGUAGGCGGGCUGCCAAGUCGGGGGUGAAAUCUUUCGGCCCAACCGGAAAAGGGCCUCCGAUACUGGCAGCCUCGAGGGGGGUAGGGGUCGGCGGAACUUCCGGUGGAGCGGUGAAAUGCGUAGAUAUCGGAAGGAACGCCGGUGGCGAAAGCGGCCGACUGGACCUCACCUGACGCUGAGGCGCGAAAGCCAGGGGAGCGAACG
rnacentral:rRNA from 1 species